rnacentral:rRNA from 1 species
CCUACGGGUGUCAGCAGUGAGGAAUAUUGGGCAAUGGGCGCAAGCCUGACCCAGCAACGCCGCGUGAAUGAAGAAGGCUUUCGGGUUGUAACCUUCUUUUGUCAGGGACGAAGCAAGUGACGGUACCUGACGAAUAAGCCACGGCUAACUAUGUGCCAGCCGCCGCGGUAAUACGUAGGUGGCAAGCGUUAUCCGGAUUUACUGGGUGUAAUGGGCGUGUAGGCGGGACUGCAAGUCAGAGGUGAAAACCACGGGCUCAACCUUUGGCCUGCAUUUGAAACUGUAGGUCUUGAGUACUGGAGAGGCAGACGGAAUUCCUAGUGUAGCGGUGAAAUGCGUAGAGAUUAGGAGGAACACCAGUGGCGAAGGCGGUCUGCUGGACAGCAACUGACGCUGAGGCGCGAAAGCGUGGGGAGCAAACAGGAUUAGAUACCCGGGUAGUC